rnacentral:lncRNA from 1 species
AUUCGGUUCUCUGUCCCUAGACGCUUAUAUAAAAAUCUAAUUAAACGGGGAUUUAUUUUAUACAUUUUAUUUUAAACGUCUCACUACAUAUUUGUCGUAAAAUAACAAUUGGUAUGCAAUUUUGCUUCGUUCUUAUUAGGUUCACUGUUAUUAAUGGUGAUAUAUUGUACCAGUCCCCGUCUUCUAAUCGUCAUUCUACCCGACCGGUAAUCAUGUUGUCCGCACUGUUUAUUUUAUUAUUGUCACUUUUUGUAUGUACCGCGUAUACCUACGGUAGACACGAAAUAAUAUUGGACGGACGCUUUAUCGUUCGCCAUUUUGCGGUUUCUAUCGACUAACGGCCAUAUCGGUUGUCGACAUUUCGUUCUUUGUUAAUACUUGUGUCGUCAUUUUCGUCUUACGUAUUCAGUGUGUGGCCGAGUCAUUGAGGAAUGGGCCGAGUACGUUCAUUUUGUUGUCCUCCGUCUGUCUUAUUAUCCACGUGUUGAAUCAAGCCGCUUUUUUUCUGUUUCCAUCAAAUAUUUUGAUUGGAACUCUUUGUUCUUUUGGUAAGUAUUUGACAUUGUUAUUAUAUUAUUAAUAUAAUUGACUUGUGGUUAGUACAGCGGUCAUCGUACGUUAAUCGAUUAUUAUAAUAGGUACUCUUAUAGCCUUCUAACGACAUAUGCAUUUAAUUAAUAUACUAUAUUAUUUUUAUUUAUUUAUUUAUAUUUAAUUGUAUAGAUUUUUAUUCUUAUAAAACUCUAAUUUAGAUUGCUAUACGGAAAAAUAUAAAGGGUUGAGUUUCGUUCAUUCUGAAUAUGUGAGGAUAAUUUAAAUGUGUUACAAAAAUCUAUUGACCCAAACAUCAUUAUAUUUCAAGGUUAUAUGUACGGAAAAUGAAAUGCAUAUAAUAGGUAUGCUUGUACUUGAUAUAUUUAAUAUUUGUAUUACAAUUGUUGGAGGAGAUUGUAAAUAUUGUUAAAAAAAUACCUAUUUAUACCUUUGUGAAAAAAUAUUGUACUUUGUGUAAAUAUUAGCUACCUCGAUAAUUUCGCAUACAAACAAACUUGUAAUUGUAAAACAUUCUAAUUUAAUUUCUUUGCUGUCAUGUGAUUGAUACCUACAAAAUUGAACGAAUAUAAAAGCUGUCCAUUGGCUAUGUCGAGCAAUUUAAAUAAAACCAAGAUAAAGAUAUAUUACAGUACCUUUGGCUUGAAUUUCAGUUUGGUAGAUCGUAUACAAUAUUAGGUAUAAUUAAAAAAUAAAAAUAAUCACCGUUCAAUAAUACCUACCUCAAAUCUUACAUGUUGGAUUAUUUUUAAUUUAAAUUAUACCAAUUACCUACCUACCUAUUUGUGUCAUGUGUUAGUCCUGAAUGGAUUUAUUUUAAUUUGUUUUCUCCCUUGGUUAUGCUUCAAUUUAUUUACAACACAGGUUUGAUUAUUUUGCUACAUAUCAAUAGUGGUCAAAACGUGAUUUCGUUCAACUAUACCAAUGGUUGAGUUUGGAAAAUCCUGACGUAGUGUUUAAAAGAGGGCUUAAUAUAUCGCGACACGUGUGAUUUCACUUUUCAAAAAUAAGUUUAUGAAUACAGCUGGAAAAAUCAAAAGAUGAUUUCACUGAAUUACCACCACAGUCGGAUUUCCUUUCAGAAAAAGUGCUAAAU